GACGAGUCCCCGUGCGACGCCGGCCCGUGAACCAGGUCAGGUCCGGAAGGAAGCAGCCUUAAGCGAUCGUCGGCGGGCGCAUGGGUGCCUCGUUCGG
rnacentral:SRP_RNA from 1 species